GCUCGUCCGUGUUCUUAACCCUCCUCCACGUGCUGUAGUCUUUGCGCCGGAAAAGCAAAUAGGCUGCUGAGACGGCUGGAUAGCUCUUGGAUUCGUCCUGUGGUCGAACACGUAUCUACUCCAAUGCAAAUCAUUGUUAAGUAACAACUAGUUAACCUGGGAAUCAAAAAUGUUUUUCAUAUUAGGGCCCCAUGUUUCUCUCCUUUUGAGACCCAAGCUGACGACUAGUUCCUCCGAUUCGUCUUGGCGUUCCUCAGCCGCGCGUGUUUGCAGUGCCGAAACAAUGUCCCACAGGGCGCUCAGGUUAGCUUUGAGGAACUCGACUUCUUCUUUCAGUUUUAAGUUGGUGUUGCUGCUACCAGCAGUGCGCCCUACGUGUCAGUAAUAAUUGUGUUAUUGUUUCUUCUUCUUCUUUUGUAAACAGACGAAGUAAUUUUACCCUGUGCGUUGACGUAGUCGACGACUGUGAAGCACAAAAUGACGAUCAAGCAGAGUUUCACAACAGUGGACCAAGCCAUCUUCAUCAAAACUGAGCCAGCGGAUCACUAUUCGGCUCUAGUGUAUCGCUUCGUUGACGUCUCUCUGAAUGCUCUACAGAGAUUCAACUGUUUGCUUGUUCCUUUUGAGCUCAAAACUGAGUCAAACACGACAGAAAAACCUACUGCCGACUGUUUGUUUUGACCUCUGCCAACCCGAGGGGUGAUAACCUUCUCCCUAGCCUCAGUUACCGAAAGCCGUCUGUUCUUCGUUCCCAGCUAAGCAGUUCUUUCCGCUGCCAGAUUGUUUACACUAACACAGUCUCCUUCUCCCUCCCUCGAUGUCUGCUCCCUUUACCCCUCUUUCCCUCUACGACUUUUGGAAAAAAUUUGGCUAAUAGAAAAUGGCAGAAGGUCGAAUUUCAGUUGUGGUUUCUUCAGCUAGCAAAGAUGCAUAUACACUCAUACUGCUGAAAAUUCAGGUCAAUCUAUCUCUCAUUCUGUGAAGUACGAUUAUGGAAUAUUCCUUAUCAAACAAUGUUUAUUAAGUGCUAUCUACUAUUGGACAAGAACGUGGCUCCCAUCAGACAUAGCAAGCGAUGUCUUUUAAAUAAAACGAAAAGCGUUUAUUGCAAUAUAUUUUGCAUUUGUUUGCCUUAGCCUAGAAGUCUAGAACAGUCUGGUUUACUGCAACAGUAUACCUUACUAUAUAUAGUGCGGACCGAAUAUCAAGUCUCACAAAAAAACUGUUCCCACCAAAAGAGCAUUUGAUUUUAGUAUGGCUGAUAUAGAAAUGUUAACACCUGUGACCACCGCCAAAUUUUCUUUCUGAAAAGCGUGUUAAUGUUUUUAGGGUUUAUUGAUGUAUUGUAAAAUCUAUCUUUAGAAUUUUUAUGACACUAACAGGGAUCACUUAUGGCACAACAAGAUAAUUGAAUAUGAAAAUGCUGAACUGGUAAUAAAGCUUAAACUUAA